rnacentral:rRNA from 1 species
CAUCACUACGCUAGAUGCAUAUCAAUAAGCGGAGGAAAAGAAACUAACUAAGGAUUCCCCUCAGUAACGGCGAGUGAAGCGGGAAGAGCUCAAAUUUGAAAUCUUCAAGGGUUCUACCUUUACGAAUUAUAGUUUAAAGAAGUGUUUUCUGUUGGAGUUUUCGGUAAAAGUUCUUUGGAAUAGGACAUCAUAGAGGGUGAGAAUCCCGUAUUUGACCGUUACUUUCCAGCUGUGUGAUACACUUUCAAAGAGUCGGAUUGUUUGGGAAUGCAGUCCAAGAUGGGUGGUAAAUUUCAUCUAAAGCUAAAUAUUGGCGAGAGACCGAUAGCGAACAAGUACCGUGAGGGAAAGAUGAAAAGAACUUUGAAAAGAGAGUUAAACAGUACGUGAAAUUGUCAAAAGGGAAGCGUUUGACACCAGUGUUGUUUAGUUGAAAAUCAAUUCAAUAGUUUUUGAUUCUAAGUAGUAUUGACUUCAUCAGCUUGCUGCUUUCUUCUCAGAAAUUAUUGAAUGCACUUUUCAGUUAACAAGUCAACAUCAAUUUCUUUUGUUGUAAAAGGGUAAGAGGAAGGUGGCUUGCGCUUCGGCUCAAGUGUUUAUAGCCUUUUAUCUCUGCAAUCGGAGAGAUUGAGGUCUGCAGCGUAGAUCCUUCGGGGUUAGAUACAUUUGUGCUAAGCUAUAGCCUUUCAUAGACAACUUGUUGACUAUGAUCAGUCAUGUAGCUUACUCGCUUAUGCUAUUUUACCUACGCUUAGGAUGUUGAAGAUAUGCGCGACACG